UACGUAGGGCGCAAGCGUUGUCCGGAAUUAUUGGGCGUAAAGAGUUCGUAGGCGGCGCAGAAAGUAGGGUGUGAAAGCCCUCGGCUCAACCGAGGAAUUGCGCUCUAAACUACUGUGCUUGAGGAAUCUAGAGGUGAGCGGAACUGAUGGUGGAGCGGUGAAAUGCGUUGAUAUCAUCAGGAACACCGGAGGCGAAGGCGGCUCACUGGGGAUUUUCUGACGCUGAGGAACGAAAGCCAGGGGAGCGAACGGG
rnacentral:rRNA from 1 species